AAACCUGGAUAGGUAAUUGUUUUUAGAAGGGCACCCCCUCUCCAAUAAACACCAACAUGGCCUUCUGGGACUUGAUGUAACAUGGAAAAGCUAUUGUUCGUAGCUGAAAACGAUGAUGGGACCAAGAUCUGCAAAUAUUACAAAAUCAAAGCAGCAAUGAAGAGGAAG